GUGAGGAAUUUUCCGCAAUGGGCGAAAGCCUGACGGAGCAAUGCCGCGUGAAGGAUGAAGGCCUAUGGGUUGUAAACUUCUUUUCUUAGUGAAGAAUAUUGACGGUAUCUGAGGAAUAAGCAUCGGCUAACUCUGUGCCAGCAGCCGCGGUAAGACAGAGGAUGCAAGCGUUAUCCGGAAUGAUUGGGCGUAAAGCGUCUGUAGGUGGCUUCAAAAGUCUCCUGUCAAAGAUCAGGGCUUAACCCUGGGCCGGCAGGAGAAACUCUGAGGCUAGAGUUUGGUAGGGGCAGAGGGAAUUCCCGGUGGAGCGGUGAAAUGCGUAGAGAUCGGGAGGAACACCAAAGGCGAAAGCACUCUGCUGGGCCACAACUGACACUGAGAGACGAAAGCGAGGGGAGCAAAAGGGAUUAGAUACCCUGGUAGUCC
rnacentral:rRNA from 1 species